rnacentral:rRNA from 1 species
AACGUAGGGUGCAAACGUUGUUCGGAAUCACUGGGCGUAAAGCGCGUGUAGGCGGCCAUGUGUGUCGAGCGUGAAAUCCCUUGGCUUAACCGAGGAACUGCGUUCGAAACUACAUGGCUAGAGUACGAGAGAGGGGGAUGGAAUUCCCGGUGUAGAGGUGAAAUUCGUAGAUAUCGGGAGGAACAUCAAUUGCGAAGGCAGUCCCCUGGAUCGCAACUGACGCUCAGACGCGAAAGCGUGGGGAGCAAACAGGAUUAGAUACCCCCGUA